rnacentral:rRNA from 1 species
UAGGGAAUCCUCCACAAUGGGCGAAAGCCUGAUGGAGCAACGCCGCGUGUGUGAUGAAGGGUUUCGGCUCGUAAAACACUGUUGUAAGAGAAGAAUGACAUUGAGAGUAACUGUUCAAUGUGUGACGGUAUCUUACCAGAAAGGAACGGCUAAAUACGUGACAG